AUCGAACGCUGGCGGCAGGCUUAACACAUGCAAGUCGACCGGAGCGGCGGACGGGCGAGUAAUGCCUAGGAAUCUGCCUGGUCGUGGGGGAUAACGUCCGGAAUCGGGCGCUAAUACCGAACAGUACCUGAUGACCCUUGGUCGGCUUCGCUAGUUGGUGGGGUAAAGGCAUACCAAGGCGACGAUCCGUAACUGGUCUGAGAGGAUGAUAAGUCGCACUGGAACUGCGACACGGUCCACACCCCUACGGGACGAAGCAGUGGGGAAGCUUGGACGAGGGGCGAAAGCCUGAUCCAGCCAUGCCGCGGGUGUGAAGAAGGUCUUCGGUUUUGAGAGCUCGUUAAGUUUGGAGGCGUUACCAGCAGAAUAAGCACCGGCUAACUUCGUGCCAGCAGCCGCGGUAAUAC
rnacentral:rRNA from 1 species